rnacentral:lncRNA from 1 species
UAGAAGUCAGGUCGGAUUAAGCCAUAGUACGGUAAGAGCUAUGCUGCCUGUGAGCCCCGUCCAAGGACGUUAAAAGAAGUCAGGCCAUCAUAAAUGCCAUAGCUUGAGUAAACUGUGCUGCCUGUAGCUCCANNUCGUGGGGAUGUAAAAACCUGGGAGGCUGCAACCCAUGGAAGCUGUACGCAUGGGGUAGCAGACUAGUGGUUAGAGGAGACCCCUCCCUUACAAAUCGCAGCAAC